rnacentral:tRNA from 1 species
AGGGAUAUAGCUCAGUUGGUAGAGUGCUUGCCUUGCAUGCACAAGGCCCUGGGUUCAAUCCCCAGCACCACAA